GUGAAUCAGACGAAUGUCCUGAAGGCAGGCAAUUGAUGACCCAGACAAGGACUAAUCAAGAUUGUCGAUCUAGUCCCUGCCUGGGUCACCAAUUGUCGGCCCCCGCGGGCAAAGAAUAUAUACUUU
rnacentral:pre_miRNA from 15 species